AACGAACGCUGGCGGCGUGGAUAAGACAUGCAAGUCGAACGGGAUAUUUUUGUAGCAAUACCGGAAUAUUCAGUGGCGAACGGGUGCGUAACACGUGGGUAACAUGCCGGGAAGAGGAGAAUAGCCCAGGGAAACUUGGAUUAAUGCUCCAUGUGGUCGCAAGACUAAAGACGGGGUAACCUGUCGCUUCCUGAUUGGCCCGCGGCCUAUCAGCUAGUUGGCGAGGUAACGGCUCACCAAGGCGACGACGGGUAGCUGGUCUGAGAGGAUGACCAGCCACACUGGAACUGAGACACGGUCCAGACACCUACGGGUGGCAGCAGUCGAGAAUCUUUCACAAUGGGGGCAACCCUGAUGGAGCGACGCCGCGUGGAGGAUAAGGUCUUCGGAUUGUAAACUCCUGUCAUGCGAGAGUAAGGCCCCGCGUUAACUGCGUGUGGGAUUGACAGUAUCGCAAGAGGAAGAGACGGCUAACUCUGUGCCAGCCGCCGCGGUAAUAC
rnacentral:rRNA from 1 species